rnacentral:rRNA from 1 species
CAAUAGCGUAUAUUAACGUUGUUGCAGUUAAAAAGCUCGUAGUUGGAUUUCUGGAGGGAGCGUCGGCCCGUAUUUACGAGUGCGUGACGUCUCUGUCCAUUCUUGCGGGAAGGCACGGCAUUGAUUUGUUGUGUCGGAUCGCAUCAUUUACUGUGAAAAAAUUAGAGUGUUCAAAGCAGGCUUUCGCUUGAAUACAUUAGCAUGGAAUAAUAAGAUAGGACUUUGGUGCUAUUUUGUUGGUUGAGCCUAAAGUAAUGAUUAAUAGGGAUAGUUGGGGGCACCUGUAUUGCGUUGUCAGAGGUGAAAUUCUUGGAUUUACGCAAGACAAACAGCUGCGAAAGCGUCUGCCAAGGAUGUUUUCAUUAA